rnacentral:rRNA from 1 species
CUACGGGCGGCUGCAGUGGGGAAUAUUGCACAAUGGGGGAAACCCUGAUGCAGCAACGCCGCGUGGAGGAUGACGCAUUUCGGUGUGUAAACUCCUUUUAUAUCCCAAGAUAAUGACGGUAGGAUAUGAAUAAGCACCGGCUAACUCCGUGCCAGCAGCCGCGGUAAUACGGAGGGUGCAAGCGUUACUCGGAAUCACUGGGCGUAAAGGAUGCGUAGGCUGGAAAUCAAGUCAGGAGUGAAAUCCAACGGCUCAACCGUUGAACUGCUUCUGAAACUGGUUACCUAGAAUGUGGGAGAGGUAGAUGGAAUUAGUGGUGUAGGGGUAAAAUCCGUAGAGAUCACUAGGAAUACCGAUUGCGAAGGCGAUCUACUGGAACACUAUUGACGCUGAGGCAUGAAAGCGUGGGGAGCAAACAGGAUUAGAUACCCUUGUAGUC